rnacentral:tRNA from 1 species
CCCGCGUUGGCUCAACUGGAUAGAGCAUUUGCCUACGAAGCAAAAGUGUGCACGUUCGAAUCGUGUGCGCGGGGCCA